GCGGAUGUAGCUCAGUUGGCUAGAGCGUCUGCUUGCCAUGCAGAAGGUCGUGGGUUCGAGCCCCAUCAUCCGCU
rnacentral:tRNA from 1 species